AUAAAGACUGGUAGAUUUCUUCCGUUGGAAGAGGGUGAGUUUUCUAAUUUAAUAUAUAGACUUUAUUUUCUUUUAAUUGAACGGUUAUCCUUGUCACAUUGACGUAUAAAAGGAAAUAUGCAAGCCCUUCCUUGGUUUGUUUCGAUACCACCAGUUACAAGGACUUUUGUAAUGGCAUGCGUCAUUACUUCUCUAUCAGAGGCCUGGGGUCUAAUACAUCACCUUCAACUCUACUUGAAUUGGAGACAAAUUUUUCACCAUUAUCAGGUGUGGAGAUUCCUGACCAACUUUUUAUAUUUUGGAAGCACGGUGAACCUGAUUUUUAAAAUAUUUUGUGUUGUCCAAUAUAUGCAAUCGCUGGAACAAAGCGUGUUUAGGCGUAGAGUGGCAGACUACGUGUACAUGAUUAUGUUUGGGGCGUUUUCUUUAUUGUUUGCUAGUUUCUGCCUAUACUAUAUGAAAUUCAGGCACCCUCUAUUUCUGGGACCUGUUUUGACCGAAAUGAUCGUUUAUAUCUGGGCGAAGCACCAUCCAUAUAUUAUGCUCCAUUUUUUGGGCAUAUUGCCAAUCGCGGCACCUCUGUUGCCAUGGAUCAUAUUUUCAAUAGAGAUGUGCUUCGAACUGGAUGCGGACAUUUUCAACUUGAUGGGAUUCUUUUUGGGACAUUUGUAUUAUUUCCUCUCACAUGUCUACGUGAUAACAAGCAAUAGACAGCUUUUGAAAACGCCUGCCAUUUUGAGACUGCUGUUAGAUUGAGGCUAGAUUCCCGUUCGCAGAAGGGAAAGUAGAGGGUAUUGUGCCAUCUCCAGCUUCUGUCAACUUCUACCCUAUUGCCUAAAGUGCAUGUUUGGUUCUUCCUUCUUCCAUGCAGGCCAUCAUAUGCACAGUCUGUGAUUUGGGUGUUAUCGUUUUCGAAAUUUGGUCGUACUGUAUGCACUUUUAACUAUGUGGCGAUAGAAAAGAAGUCAAACUUUCGAUGUACAAAGGUAGCAUAAAAUUUUUUUAUUCGCAAUUCUGUGGUAUAUACAUACCUCUUUAUAGUUAAAAACUGGACUUUUUGAUGCGAUUUGAAUAAAAAAGUUAACUAUAUCUCCGCCGAUGAUAAUCAUGGCGAGUAUUUCGAGAAUCUCGAUGGAAUGCGCUGUCAUCAUACUUAGAAUGUUCUGAAGAAUACGGACAGUGACGUUUUGAGCUAUACUUCCUUUCGCUUGGCCUCAUGUAGUCGGUUUCUUCACGGAAGUCUGACGGUUUAUGUUCCGAGUCAUACUGAACGCGUCUAGGCGAACGAGCAUGACACAAUUCUCGUGACGGGUGUUGAGGCUGCGAUCCGUAAUAGCGAUAGUAUGCUUCAAGAAGAGAGAACACAGCCGGCAUUUCAGAUUCCGAAAAUUUAGGUAGAUCAGGCGCAUGUAAGCCUGGAUAGGGGAAGAGGCGCUUUCUAGGUAAGGUAGCAAGUGAGAUAGACGAUGAUUUCGACCAAAUUUUAUCGGUUUGAUCGUUUUUGGUUGAUUCUGAAUGAUUUUUUUCCUCUUCGAAUUGGGUCUUUUUUUGCUCAAUAAGUAUUUCGUUUUUUUUUGUCUCUUCUUGAGGCAUUCCACCGCUGGCCUCUUCUCCUUGUAUCAGCGCAUUGCCAUCGUUCUUGCUUUCUUCCCAUUUAAUCUCGAAACUGAAUUUGUUUCUUUCACCUUCAUAGUACGCCGGGGGGUAUCCGUAAAUUUUCAUUUUCGCAUAGUAUGGAGGAUCUUGGCCAUUUUGAAUUCCUAGAGCGACCUUCAUUUUUUCUGAAAGUCUACCGGGGAUGGGGUUCAUCGACGACGGUGUUUCAUAGUAUCUCUUUUCGGACGAUGUCUCUUUUUGUAGUCUCCAUUCCUUCAUGGUCCGUCUGAUCCGUUCUGGGUCGUGUCGACUCGGACAAGAGGAGAGUUGGUGACCUCUGAGCCCGCAGUUGAAACAAGCACCUUGAGUCGGGUAAUGUGAAACGCUCCCUGUUUGGUGGGGAAGAGGCUCUUCGAAAGCACGAGUAUAAUAAGGGGGUGACCACAGCCGUGCAUCUGGAGCAUCGCCAGAAGGAAUAGGCCAUACGCUACGAUCAAGGGUGAAAUAGGGAUAGUAUUGAACAGAACCAGAGUAUCCAAUUCGGCGACAGUAGUUAUAAGAUGCGGAACGCGUCCGAACCGGAAGGUACCAUGUGUCAU